UACGGGGCGCGGGGCAUGACGGGAGUUGUAGUGCGGGAGGGGCGGGGUCUGCAAUGCUUCGCUACGAGCGCCGCGGGGCAUGACGGGAGUUGUAGUGCGGGAGGGGCGGGGUCUGCAAUGCUUCGCUACGGGCGCCGCGGGGCAUGACGGGAGUUGUAAACGGAUAACGAGGGAUUUCACGGUGCGCCAGGGAUGAUCGGGGUUGUAGGCCGGGCCGUAAUGCGUCCAGGGCUGUUGGAGGCCUGGGGAGGAAUUUAUGGGCACUUUCGGGUCGUGGGGGGAUAUUUGGGGGGAAUUUGGGGGCGUGUACCCCGGGAGGGGAGAGCUGAGUAGCGAGGGCUGUGUAGGCCCGGCUCUAAUGGCGCCCCGGGCAGCCGCGGUGCGAGAUGGGAGGUGUAGUCAAAAAGACAAAAUGGCGCCGCCUCGAGGCACCGCCCCCGAGGCCGCUGAGUGGUUGUGCGCUGUGAUUGACGUGCGCGGCGCCCAAUGAGAAGCGGCGCCGGGGGAAGGCGGGAAGCGGCGGCGGCUGAGGGCGGCGGUGAGGGGGGGUCGCGGAUUUCGGGAGAAUUUGAGGAGAUUUUGGGGGAUUUUUGGGAAUUUUUGGAAGUUUUGGGGGAUUUUGGGAUUCUCCGUUACCUCUCCACCCCUCACAGACCCCAGAGACGCGUCCGGAGCGGCGAUGGCCGCCAAGGUGAAGGUGGAGAAGCCAGAGCUGGAGGCGGCGGCGGCGCGGCGACGUCUCGACGCCGUCCUGGAGCAGCUCCUGCAGCGCGGGCCCAGGGAGCCGCUGGAGGAGGAGCCUGGGAAAGCCCCCGGGGACCCCCCGGCCAAGGAGGCCUCGCCCAGCGCUCCGGGAAAAAGGCCGCCCGGGCGAUUCCCGCAGCAGCGACGGAAGAAGAGGAGAGAGGGGGGGGAGGGGCUGGAGCCGCCUCCCCAAAAACAGAGUGAGCCCAAAAACCCGGAAUUGUCACCCAAAAACCGGGAAUUGUCACCCAAAAACCCAGAAUUGUCACCCAAAAUCUGGGAAUUGUGACCCAAAAUUGGGAAUUGUCACCCAAAAUUGGGAAUUGUCACCCAAAAAUGGGAAUUGUCACCAAAAAACCGGGAAUUGUCACCCGAAAACCGGGAAUUGUCACCCAAAAUUGGGAAUUGUCACCCAAAAUCUGGGAAUUGUCACCCAAAAUUGGGAAUUGUCACCCGAAAACCUGGAAUUGUGACCCAAUAAUUGGGAAUUGUCACCCAAAAUUGGGAAUUGUCACCAAAAACCGGGAAUUGUCACCCAAAAACCCAGAAUUGUCACCCAGAAUCGGGAAUUGUCACCCAAAAACCGGGAAUGGUCACCCAAAAACCCGGAAUUGGCACCCAAAAUCGGGAAUUGUCACCCAAAAACCCGGAAUUCUGACCCAAAAUUGGGAAUUGUGGCCCAAAAACUGGGAAUUCUCACCCAAAAUUGAGAAUUGUGGCCCAAAAAUUGGGAAUUCUGACCCAAAAUUGGGAAUUGUCACCCAAAACCGGGAAUUGUGACCCAAAAACCGGGAAUUGUCACCCAAAAUCGGGAACUGUCACCCAAAAUCCGGGAAUUGUCACCCAAAAUUGGGAAUUCUCACACAAAAACCGGGAAUUGUGACCCAAAAACCCGGAAUUGUCACCCAAAAUUGGGAAUUGUCACCCAAAAUUGGGAAUUCUGACCCCAAAAUGGGGAACUGGGAAUCGGGGCUGGGUUUUGGGGUGAUUUUGAGGUGUUUAGGGUCAUUUUGGGGUGAUUUCGGGUGGUUUUGGGAUGAUUUUGGGGUAAUUUUGGGUGGUUUUGGGUGAUUUUGGGUGUUUCUAGGGUUUUUAGGGUGUUUAGGGUGUUUUUUGGGGUGUUUUUGUGUCAUUUAGGGGUGUUUUUGGGGUGAUUUUGGGUGGUUUUGGGUCAAUUUGUGCCAUUUCUGGGGUGAUUUUGGCU
ensembl:lncRNA lin-37 DREAM MuvB core complex component